GGUUUAACGGGAUAUUGGUCCGGUUCAAUGAGAAAGCAAUGCUCAAAAUGUCUCAGGCACUGCUUUUCGAUUGAGCCGUGCCAAUAUCACGUGCCACUGC
rfam:Phaseolus vulgaris cultivar G19833 chromosome 5, whole genome shotgun sequence.